rnacentral:rRNA from 1 species
UACGUAGGGCGCGAGCGUUGUCCGGAAUUAUUGGGCGUAAAGGGCUCGUAGGCGGUUUGUCGCGUCGGGAGUGAAAUCCACUGGCUUAACUGGUGGCUUGCUUUCGAUACGGGCAGACUGGAGGUAUGCAGGGGAGAACGGAAUUCCUGGUGUAGCGGUGAAAUGCGCAGAUAUCAGGAGGAACACCGGUGGCGAAGGCGGGUCUCUGGGCCGGAACUGACGCUAAGGAGCGAAAGCGUGGGGAGCGAACAGG